GCGCUCGUUGCCGGCGUUUCCGUGACGGGGCCGGCCUAUCGCGUCGGUGAGGUGCAGCUCGACGACUGGGCGCCGCGCGUGCGGCACGCGGCCGGCGCC
rnacentral:tRNA from 1 species